GUGCGAAUGAUGGAAAAAUUUUAACUUCCUGAGACUAAUGAUGUCUUCAAAGGAACCACUGAUGCAC